GCUGGCUGGGGAAGACACAUUGAAAAACAUCAGCACAAAUACCGCACUGCUAUUUUCAUGGAGAAACACGAGGCGUGAUCACUGAUAAAUUUGCCCAAUUUUUUNCAACUGAAUGCAUUUUUUGCACCUUGUAGAAGGAGAGUUGUGUGACUGUGGCAUUAUAGCAAAGAUGGAUCAGGAACCAAAGUAACCGUAACCAAAAUAGGAAAGUUAAGGAAAGGCUGGGAAAAGGAUUAGAACGAAAGAAAAAAAGAAGGAA